rnacentral:rRNA from 1 species
UACGGAGGAUGCAAGCGUUAUCCGGAUUUAUUAGGUUUAAAGGGUGCGCAGGCGGAAAUGUAAGUCAGUGGUGAAAGCCUACAGCUUAACUGUAGAAAUGCCAUUGAUACUGCUUUUCUUGAGUAUAGUUGAAGUAGGCGGAAUGUGUAGUGUAGCGGUGAAAUGCAUAGAUAUUACACAGAACACCGAUUGCGAAGGCAGCUUACUAAACUAUUACUGACGCUCAUGCACGAAAGCGUGGGGAG